rnacentral:rRNA from 1 species
AACGAACGCUGGCGGCAGGCCUAACACAUGCAAGUCGAACGGACCCUUCGGGGUUAGUGGCGGACGGGUGAGUAACACGUGGGAACGUGCCUUUAGGUUCGGAAUAGCUCCUGGAAACGGGUGGUAAUGCCGAAUGUGCCCUUCGGGAGAAAGAUUUAUCGCCUUUAGAGCGGCCCGCGUCUGAUUAGCUAGUUGGUGAGGUAAAGGCUCACCAAGGCGACGAUCAGUAGCUGGUCUGAGAGGAUGACCAGCCACAUUGGGACUGAGACACGGCCCAAACUCCUACGGGAGGCAGCAGUGGGGAAUCUUGCGCAAUGGGCGAAAGCCUGACGCAGCCAUGCCGCGUGAAUGAUGAAGGUCUUAGGAUUGUAAAAUUCUUUCACCGGGGACGAUAAUGACGGUACCCGGAGAAGAAGCCCCGGCUAACUUCGUGCCAGCCGCCGCCGUAAGAC